rnacentral:rRNA from 1 species
UACGUAGGUGGCAAGCGUUGUCCGGAUUUACUGGGCGUAAAGAGCGCGCAGGCGGUUGUGCAAGUCGCGUGUGAAAGCCCCCGGCUCAACUGGGGAGGGUCACUCGAUACUGAUCGACUCGAAGGCAGGAGAGGGAAGCGGAAUUCCCGGUGUAGUGGUGAAAUGCGUAGAUAUCGGGAGGAACACCAGUGGCGAAGGCGGCUUUCUGGCCUGUUCUUGACGCUGAGGCGCGAAAGCUAGGGUAGCAAA